rnacentral:lncRNA from 1 species
UUCCUCUUUAAUUGCCAUAAUUUCUCAAGAGUCCAAAUCCCUAAUUUUUCUCCCUCGUUUUGAAUUUCACCCAACUUCCUUGCACCCCUGUCUGCUAGUUCCAAUCCAUGCUUUGGACCUCUGAAUUUGCCUUUCAUGAAUUUUCUAUUGAAGUGAUAAUGACAAAAACAGUACAUUGUCCAUCUGUGCUGAGUCUGAUUUUUGGACAUAGUUUCAGUAUUCAGGUUGUCAUAAUACAAUGUCAUGACAUCGUGUGUGAC